rnacentral:rRNA from 1 species
ACGAACGCUGGCGGCGCGCCUAACACAUGCACGUCGAACGAGCGAGAGAGAGCUUGCUUUCUCGAGCGAGUGGCGAACGGGUGAGUAACGCGUGAGGAACCUGCCUCAAAGAGGGGGACAACAGUUGGAAACGACUGCUAAUACCGCAUAAGCCCACGACCCGGCAUCGGGUAGAGGGAAAAGGAGCAAUCCGCUUUGAGAUGGCCUCGCGUCCGAUUAGCUAGUUGGUGAGGUAACGGCCUACCAAGGCGACGAUCGGUAGCCGGACUGAGAGGUUGAACGGCCACAUUGGGACUGAGACACGGCCCAGACUCCUACGGGAGGCAGCAGUGGGUAAUAUUGCACAAUGGGGGAAACCCUGAUGCAGCGACGCCGCGUGGAGGAAGAAGGUCUUCGGAUUGUAAACUCCUGUUGUUGAGGAAGAUAAUGACGGUACUCAACAAGGAAGUGACGGCUAACUACGUG